rnacentral:rRNA from 1 species
CGGGGUGAGUAACGCGUGGGUAACCUGCCUCAUGCAGGGGGAUAACGAUUGGAAACGAUUGCUAAUACCGCAUAAGCGCACAGUACCACAUGGUACAGUGUGAAAAACUCCGGUGGUAUGAGAUGGACCCGCGUCUGAUUAGCUAGUUGGUGGGGUAGCGGCCCACCAAGGCAACGAUCAGUAGCCGACCUGAGAGGGUGACCGGCCACAUUGGGACUGAGACACGGCCCAG